CCGAUCCAUUCAGUUAAGUUAAAGUUAAAGUAACUAAUCAAGAGCUCGACGAAUAAUGUGUGUGAAAUUUCACGUUUAUAUCUUGACGAUUUUUGGGUUCUGGAAUAUAGUUUUGGGCUUAAUAAUAGCCUAUUUUCAAGCAAACGAACUUGAUUCUUUUUACGAUUACUACGAAGUGAAAGGUUUUAUUGGAUUUUUUAAUUCUGCAGCAGAUCUACCUGACCCAUUAUUAUACGAACAACAAUUUAAAAUAAAUGGUCUCUUCUUCGAAAUACUUCCUCUAGACGUCUACAAGGGACUUUUCCCCAUAGGUAUAUUACUGGGAGUUCUGCAUACCGGAUCAGGGAUAUUAACGUUGCUUGGUAUAAGAAAUAAAUGUAGGAUAUACUUCUCUACUGGGUUAGUUCUAAGCAGCUUCCUUCCAUACUUCAUGGUUUUCUUGUACUUGUGGACAUUUCAGAUUAUUUUUACCAUCCUAGCCUGUCGACACGUGAUCAACGAUUUGAAUUGGAUCGACUAGGCCUUUUUUAAAAGGUAUGGAAGCCGUAGCAAACAGAGUUUAAUAGCACACUGAACCAAUUUAAUAAUCGGUUAAUUUAAUUUAAAAAACAAAAUGAUUAACA